AUUGAACGCUGGCGGCAGGCCUAACACAUGCAAGUCGAACGCGUGGCGGACGGGUGAGUAAUGUCUGGGAAACUGCCUGCUGGAGGGGGAUAACUACUGGAAACGGUAGCUAAUACCGCAUACCAUCAGAUGUGCCCAGAUGGGAUUAGCUAGGAGGUGGGGUAACGGCUCACCUAGGCGACCAUCCCUAGCUGGUCUGAGAGGAUGCGCAGCCACACUGGAACUGAGACAAGGUCCAGACUCCUACGGGAGGCAGCAGUGGGGAAUAUUGCAUAAUGGGCGCAAGCCUGAUGAAGCCAUGCCGCGUGUAUGAAGAAGGCCUUCGGGUUGUAAAGUACUUUCAGCGGGGAGGCGUUACCCGCAGAAGAAGCACCGGCUAACUCCGUGCCAGCAGCCGCGGUAAUAC
rnacentral:rRNA from 1 species